AUACGGAGGGUGCAAGCGUUAAUCGGAAUUACUGGGCGUAAAGCGCGCGUAGGCGGCUGAUUAAGUCGGAUGUGAAAUCCCUGGGCUCAACCUAGGAACUGCAUCCGAUACUGGUCAGCUAGAGUUUUGGAGAGGUAAGUGGAAUUUCCGGUGUAGCGGUGAAAUGCAUAGAGAUCGGAAGGAACACCAGUGGCGAAGGCGACUUGCUGGCCAAAAACUGACGCUGAGGUGCGAAAGCGUGGGUAGCGAACAGGAUUAGAUACCCUAGUAGUCC
rnacentral:rRNA from 1 species